AUCUGGUGCCUGUUCACUUAACCAAUUUCUAAGAGGCUACCCCGUCACAGUCCAGGUUGAUUUUUAGCAGUUGUGUGGCUGGCUCACUCAACUCCUAGAGGGCAUCAGAUUGUUGUGCUCAGUGACAGUCACCCCCAAAGCAGAAAACAUGCCAUGAAUCAAGGCUUCUGAAAAGCAAGGGAGUAGCAUGACAAAAUCCUGGAGGGCCAUGGAAUUGGGCAAUUCACACACAAUGUUGGGUUGGGUCAAGAUGGUGUGAGUGAGACCCAGAAGCUUUCUGGAUUAUAGGCAGGCCUGCUUCCUUUCCAAUAGUCAGAACAGGCAGAUGCUUGGGUAUAAUGAGUCAAGAGAGAUCAAAGAAACUGAAUUAUUUAAAUAUAUGGUGACCAUGGCGAGAGUAGUAUUUGCAGCAAAACAGAAGGCAGAACAAUGUCCAGAUCUGACAGAAUAGAAGAACAAGUUAUGUGAAUAUGCAUUAAUAUUGUAUAUACACAAGAAGCCAAUCCGAGAAUUCCAGGAAAAUGGAAAAUAUUUUUGAUUAUGUAGCUGAAAACUAAGAAUAAUUAAUAUUUAUUAUUAAAUAUGGUGAUAGAUGGAAAGAUAAAUAGAAGUAGGAAAGGAAUAUAUAUGGGCAAGUUCUAUAUAGGUAUAUGAUUUAAUUAAUGACUAUUUGAUUUAAUUGAUAUUAGUGAAUCCAUUAUAUUUCUCUCAUUUAGGAUUUAGAUGCUGUGCUUAUUCAUAUAUGAUCCAGAUGAUUAUUGAUGAUUUAAGUAGUGGAUGACUGUAGAGAGAUGAUUCGGAUGAUUAUAUGACAUAGUUAUGCUUUUUAUCUCUAUUAAAAAUAGAGAUAAAAGAAAA